GAUGAACGCUAGCUACAGGCUUAACACAUGCAAGUCGAGGGACCGGCGCCCGGGUGAGUAACACGUAUCCAACCUGCCCUUUACUCGGGGAUAGCCUUUCGAAAGAAAGAUUAAUACCCGAUGUAAAGGAUGGGGAUGCGUUCCAUUAGGUUGUUGGUGAGGUAACGGCUCACCAAGCCUUCGAUGGAUAGGGGUUCUGAGAGGAAAGUACCACAAAUUGGAAAUGAGACAAGGUGCAAACUCCUACGGGAAGCAAAAGUGAGGAAUAGUGGUGAAUGGGCGUUAGCAUGAAACAGCCAAGUAGCGUGAAGGAUGAAGGCUUAUGGGUCGUAAACUUCGUUUAUAUAAGAAUAUGUAUUAUAUGAAUAAAGAUCGGCUAACUCCGUGCCAGCAGCCGCGGUAAUAC
rnacentral:rRNA from 1 species